UUUGAUCAUGGCUCAAGACGAAACGCUGGCGGCGUGCUUAACACAUGCAAGUCGAACGAUGAAGCGGUGCUUGCACCGUGGAUUAGUCGGCGAACGGGUGAGUAAUACGUGAGUGACCUACCUUUGACUCUGGGAUAAGCCUGGGAAACUGGGUCUAAUACCGGAUACGACCAAUCUCUGCAUGGGGUGUUUGGUGGAAAGCGUUAUGGAGUGGUUUUAGAUGGGCUCACGGCCUAUCAGCUUGUUGGUGAGGUAAUGGCUUACCAAGGCGACGACGGGUAGCCGGCCUGAGAGGGUGACCGGCCACACUGGGACUGAGACACGGCCCAGACUCCUACGGGAGGCAGCAGUGGGGAAUAUUGCACAAUGGGCGCAAGCCUGAUGCAGCGACGCCGCGUGAGGGAUGACGGCCUUCGGGUUGUAAACCUCUGUUAGCAUCGAAGAAGCGAAAGUGACGGUAGGUGCAGAGAAAGCGCCGGCUAACUACGUGCCAGCAGCCGCGGUAAUACGUAGGGCGCGAGCGUUGUCCGGAAUUAUUGGGCGUAAAGAGCUUGUAGGCGGUUGGUCGCGUCUGCUGUGAAAGGCCGGGGCUUAACUCCGGUUUUGCAGUGGGUACGGGCUAACUAGAGUGCAGUAGGGGAGACUGGAAUUCCUGGUGUAGCGGUGGAAUGCACAGAUAUCAGGAGGAACACCGAUGGCGAAGGCAGGUCUCUGGGCUGUAACUGACGCUGAGAAGCGAAAGCAUGGGGAGCGAACAGGAUUAGAUACCCUGGUAGUCCAUGCCGUAAACGUUGGGCACUAGGUGUGGGGGACAUUCCACGUUUUCCGCGCCGUAGCUAACGCAUUAAGUGCCCCGCCUGGGGAGUACGGCCGCAAGGCUAAAACUCAAAGGAAUUGACGGGGGCCCGCACAAGCGGCGGAGCAUGCGGAUUAAUUCGAUGCAACGCGAAGAACCUUACCAAGGCUUGACAUGCAUUAGAUCGCGUCAGAGAUGGCGUUUCCCUUCGGGGCUGGUGUACAGGUGGUGCAUGGUUGUCGUCAGCUCGUGUCGUGAGAUGUUGGGUUAAGUCCCGCAACGAGCGCAACCCUCGUUCUAUGUUGCCAGCGGUUCGGCCGGGGACUCAUAGGAGACUGCCGGGGUCAACUCGGAGGAAGGUGGGGAUGACGUCAAAUCAUCAUGCCCCUUAUGUCUUGGGCUUCACGCAUGCUACAAUGGCCGGUACAGAGGGUUGCGAUACUGUGAGGUGGAGCUAAUCCCUUAAAGCCGGUCUCAGUUCGGAUUGGGGUCUGCAACUCGACCCCAUGAAGUCGGAGUCGCUAGUAAUCGCAGAUCAGCAACGCUGCGGUGAAAUACGUUCCCGGGCCUUGUACACACCGCCCGUC
rnacentral:rRNA from 1 species